UACGUAGGGGGCAAGCGUUGUCCGGAAUUAUUGGGCGUAAAGGGCGCGUAGGCGGCCGCUCAAGUCGGGGGUGAAAUCUUUCAGCUCAACUGGAAAAUAGCCUCCGAUACUGGGCGGCUGGAGGGAGAUAGGGGUGCGCGGAACUUCCGGUGGAGCGGUGAAAUGCGUAGAUAUCGUAAGGAAGACCAGUGGCGAAGGCGGGUCUCUGGACAGUUCCUGACGCUGAGGCACGAAGGCCAGGGGAGCAAACGGG
rnacentral:rRNA from 1 species